rnacentral:lncRNA from 1 species
CUUUUGAGAUCUCAUCCCAGUGAGAUGGAUCCUCCUUACACUUGGUGAAGAAAUCAGCAAGAGUAUUAGCAGCCUGAUCACCAUGGUAAGGGUCAAUGUGGAAACCCGAUUUACCGUGCACAAUGAUCUCAGCUGGACCACCUUUGCAAGUGGCAAAAGUCGGUAAUCCACAAGUCAUGGCCUCCACAACAGUCAACCCAAAGGCUUCAUACAAUGCAGGUUGCACAAACGCACCCUUGGUGUCACAGAUGUACCGGUACAGCUCACCGUUCCUAACCCGGUUCAUCUGGGAGGAGAUCCACCUGAACUGACCGUUCAGCUUGUAUUCUUCAAUGAGAUCAUACAUUUUCUUCAUCUCUGCUUUCUCUUCAUUGUCCUUUGAUUCUUUCCUCCUGUCUCCUCCCACAACAACCAAGUUAGCCAGCUCACGCAGGCGGGUGUUCUUCCCGUACCACUCAACAAGACCUGACAAGUUCUUGACACGGUCGAGCCUAGCCAUCGUGAAGAGGAUCGGCUUCUUCUUGUCCUUGAGCACACAUCUGUUUCCAAAGAAAUAUUAGAACUACAAUCCAAACGUGUAAUGAACAUAAAGAGUCAUUAAAAAGCUUACAGGUGCUCUUCAUUCUCAACAUCGCUGUAGAGGAGCUCCUCGAUCUCAGAGUGGAAUUUAGUCAAUCUACGCUUCUCCUCUGUGUAAGGGAAGUAGAUGCUCAUAUCAGCACCAGGGGAGACAAUGUUAAACUUGGGAUCAAACACAUCGAUCCCGUGAACAACUCGGUACAAUCCGGGAAGAGUAAAGGCCGUGUGGCUUUCAUACUGCCCAACAGUGUCCUUGCUGCAAAAUGUGUAAAGAAGACUUUUCUUAUACUGAAACCACAAACUAUUUAUUAUUAUAGUACAAUUCUUCAUUCUCUUCACCUUCCAGCAAUUUCUUGAAAAGUACUGGUGAUGAUGAAAUCAGUGUGGUUCAUUGCGAAAAUAUCCGCAGUGAACUGGCAUGAGAAAUGGUACUUCUCAUCAAGCUUCUUCCAGUAGAUAUCGGAAUCCGGGUACUUUGUCUUCUCCAGAGCAUGAGCAAUGGUACACUGUAAGAGAUAAUUCACAAUGCAUUAGCACUUGACAAAUCUCAUCAAGAUAGAUGCUAAAGAUUAAAUUCAAGAAGCCAAACCUGAGUGACACCAAGUUUGUGAGCUAAUAAAGAAGCAACAAGAUUUCCGUCACUGUAGUUCCCAAUAAUAAGGUCAGGCUUUCCAUUCAAUUCUUUCGAUAGCUCAACCGCAGCAUCCUGAAAUAACAAGAAAGGUUCAGUUUUAGUCUAAAAUGGCGAAAACAGAACACGGUUCUAGAGGAAGGGGAUGAGUGUACUUCACCUCGGUGUAAGUCU